rfam:Toxocara canis scaffold246, whole genome shotgun sequence.
UGGUGAUGAUGACAAUAGUUGGUCCGUGUUUCUGAGGAGAUUGAUGUUACUCCAACCACUGAACCA